UACGUAGGGGGCAAGCGUUGUCCGGAAUCAUUGGGCGUAAAGAGCGUGUAGGCGGCCCGGUAAGUCCGCUGUAAAAGUCAAAGGCUCAACCUUUGAAUGUCAGUGGAUACUGCCGGGCUAGAGUCCGGAAGAGGCGAGUGGAACUCCUGGUGUAGCGGUGGAAUGCGCAGAUAUCAGGAAGAACACCAACGGCGAAGGCAGCUCACUGGGACGGUACUGACGCUGAGACGCGAAAGCGUGGGGAGCGAACAGG
rnacentral:rRNA from 1 species